rnacentral:lncRNA from 1 species
GAGGUAGAAGAGCGAUCGGAGUUGGGAAGAUGAAGCUAUUGCCUAACGUCCCUGACACUCGACAUGCCUUUCAGCAAAGGAAAACAAGAGGGUGAUUGAGAUUUUGGGAUUUGAUGGUGUUAGGGGUCUAAUCUGAGAAUGCAGAAAUUAAAUGAAGAAUAGAGAGAAUUUGAAAGGAAAAACUGGGUUUCAUAUAUUCGAUAGGAUCGAGAAUUGGGUACAAGCCACCCCAAAUAGCUAAAGAGAAAUAUCAAGAGCUAGCUACAGCUGUCCUACUCACCACAAGAGAGCAGCACGUGUAUCUUGGCCAAAUAUAUCUAUCAACAGUAAGAAAGUAAAUAGGUAAUGGGCCUGGUGGUCACAAGCAUGGUUGGG